UAGGGAAUCUUCCGCAAUGGACGCAAGUCUGACGGAGCAACGCCGCGUGAGUGAAGAAGGAUUUCGGUUCGUAAAACUCUGUUGUUAGAGAAGAACAGCGCAUAGAGUAACUGUUAUGCGUGUGACGGUAUCUAACCAGAAAGCCACGGCUAACUACGUGCCAGCAGCCGCGGUAAUACGUAGGUGGCAAGCGUUGUCCGGAUUUAUUGGGCGUAAAGCGAGCGCAGGCGGUCAAUUAAGUCUGAUGUGAAAGCCCCCGGCUCAACCGGGGAGGGUCAUUGGAAACUGGUUGACUUGAGUGCAGAAGAGGAGAGUGGAAUUCCAUGUGUAGCGGUGAAAUGCGUAGAGAUAUGGAGGAACACCAGUGGCGAAGGCGACUUUCUGGUCUGUAACUGACGCUGAUGUGCGAAAGCGUGGGAAUCAAACAGG
rnacentral:rRNA from 1 species